rnacentral:rRNA from 1 species
AUGUCCUGCAAGAUGCGCGGCUGCGACAUGCCGGUGUUGGCGGCCACCCGCCCUGUGAUCUGCGAGGAGUGCCACAUGGACUGCGUCGCCGCCUCUGGCAACUGCCCAGGCUGCAAGGAGGCCUACUCCGCCGGCAGCGACACCGACGACUCCGUCGACGAGGACGACGACGACGCCAUCUCCUCGUCGGAGGAGAGGGACCAGAUGCCCAUGACAUCCAUGUCCAAGCGCUUCUCCAUGGUGCACUCCAUCAAGAUGCCCAUGCCCAGCAGCAACGGCAAGCCGACCGACUUCGACCACGCCCGGUGGCUCUUCGAGACCAAGGGCACCUACAGCUACGGCAACGCUCUAUGGCCCGAGAACGAGCACGGCGGCGGCGGCAACAGCGCUGGGGCCACCUCCGGAUUCGUCGGCAUCGAGGAGCCGCCCAACUUCGGUGCCCGCUGCUGCCGGCCCCUGACGAGGAAGACCAGCGUCUCUCAGGCCACACUCAGCCCAUACAGGUACCAAUUCCUCGUGUAA